UACGUAGGUCACAAGCGUUGUCCGGAUUUAUUGGGCGUAAAGGGAGCGCAGGCGGUUUGUUAAGUCUGAUGUGAAAGCCCACGGCUCAACCGUGGAACGGCAUUGGAAACUGGCAAACUUGAGUGCAGAAGAGGAAAGUGGAAUUCCAUGUGUAGCGGUGAAAUGCGUAGAGAUCAGGAGGAAUACCGAAGGCGAAGGCAGUCUUCCAAGCCGUUAUUGACGCUCAACUGCGAAGGUGUGGGUAUCAAACAGGAUUAGAUACCCGCGUAGU
rnacentral:rRNA from 1 species